AUUGAACGCUGGCGGCAGGCCUAACACAUGCAAGUCGAGCGGAUGAAGGGAGCUUGCUCCUGGAUUCAGCGGCGGACGGGUGAGUAAUGCCUAGGAAUCUGCCUGGUAGUGGGGGAUAACGUCCGGAAACGGGCGCUAAUACCGCAUACGUCCUGAGGGAGCAAGUGGGGGAUCUUCGGACCUCACGCUAUCAGAUGAGCCUAGGUCGGAUUAGCUAGUUGGUGGGGUAAAGGCCUACCAAGGCGACGAUCCGUAACUGGUCUGAGAGGAUGAUCAGUCACACUGGAACUGAGACACGGUCCAGACUCCUACGGGAGGCAGCAGUGGGGAAUAUUGGACAAUGGGCGAAAGCCUGAUCCAGCCAUGCCGCGUGUGUGAAGAAGGUCUUCGGAUUGUAAAGCACUUUAAGUUGGGAGGAAGGGCAGUAAGUUAAUACCCUGCUGUUUUGACGUUACCAACAGAAUAAGCACCGGCUAACUUCGUG
rnacentral:rRNA from 1 species